AUUGAACGCUGGCGGCAUGCCUAACACAUGCAAGUCGAACGAGUGGCGGACGGGUGAGUAAUGUCUGGGAAACUGCCCGAUGGAGGGGGGUAACUACUGGAAACGGUAGCUAAUACCGCAUCCCAUCGGCUGUGCCCCGAUGGGAUUAGCUGGUAGGUGAGGUAACGGCUCACCUAGGCGACGAUCCGUAACUGGUCUGAGAGGAUGAUCAGGAAAAUUGGAACGGAGACACGGCCCAGACUCCUACGGGAGGCAGAAGUGGGGAAUAUUGGACAAUGGGCGAAAGCCUGAUCCAGCAAUGCGGCGUGUGUGAAGAAGGUCUUCGGAUUGUAAAGCACUUUAAGUGGGGAGGCGUUACCGACAGAAUAAGCCCCGGCUAACUUCGUGCCAGCAGCCGCGGUAAUAC
rnacentral:rRNA from 1 species